CAGCGCCGCGGGAAUACAGAGGGUGCAAGCGUUAAUCGGAAUUACUGGGCGUAAAGCGUGCGCAGGCGGUUAUAUAAGACAGAUGUGAAAUCCCCGGGCUCAACCUGGGAACUGCAUUUGUGACUGUAUAGCUAGAGUACGGCAGAGGGGGAUGGAAUUCCGCGUGUAGCAGUGAAAUGCGUAGAUAUGCGGAGGAACACCGAUGGCGAAGGCAAUCCCCUGGGCCUGUACUGACGCUCAUGCACGAAAGCGUGGGGAGCAAACAGGAUUAGAGACCCCCGUAGUCCCUGUCUCUUAUACA
rnacentral:rRNA from 1 species